UGGCAGUCAGAGGCGAUGAAGGGCGUGCUAAUCUGCGAUAAGCGCCGGUAAGGUGAUAUGAACCGUUAUAACCGGCGAUACCCGAAUGGGGAAACCCAGUGUGAUUCGUCACACUAUCAUUAACUGAAUCCAUAGGUUAAUGAGGCGAACCGGGGGAACUGAAACAUCUAAGUACCCCGAGGAAAAGAAAUCAACCGAGAUUCCCCCAGUAGCGGCGAGCGAACGGGGAGGAGCCCAGAGCCUGAAUCAGCAUGUGUGUUAGUGGAAGCGUCUGGAAAGGCGCGCGAUACAGGGUGACAGCCCCGUACACAAAAGCGCAUGUGCUGUGAGCUCGAUGAGUAGGGCGGGACACGUGGUAUCCUGUCUGAAUAUGGGGGGACCAUCCUCCAAGGCUAAAUACUCCUGACUGACCGAUAGUGAACCAGUACCGUGAGGGAAAGGCGAAAAGAACCCCGGCGAGGGGAGUGAAAAAGAACCUGAAACCGUGUACGUACAAGCAGUGGGAGCACCCUUCGGGGUGUGACUGCGUACCUUUUGUAUAAUGGGUCAGCGACUUAUAUUCUGUAGCAAGGUUAACCGUAUAGGGGAGCCGGAGGGAAACCGAGUCUUAACCGGGCGUUAAGUUGCAGGGUAUAGACCCGAAACCCGGUGAUCUAGCCAUGGGCAGGUUGAAGGUUGGGUAACACUAACUGGAGGACCGAACCGACUAAUGUUGAAAAAUUAGCGGAUGACCUGUGGCUGGGGGUGAAAGGCCAAUCAAACCGGGAGAUAGCUGGUUCUCCCCGAAAGCUAUUUAGGUAGCGCCUCGUGAAUUCAUCUCCGGGGGUAGAGCACUGUUUCGGCUAGGGGGCCAUCCCGGCUUACCAACCCGAUGCAAACUGCGAAUACCGGAGAAUGUUAUCACGGGAGACACACGGCGGGUGCUAACGUCCGUCGUGAAGAGGGAAACAACCCAGACCGCCAGCUAAGGUCCCAAAGUCAUGGUUAAGUGGGAAACGAUGUGGGAAGGCCCAGACAGCCAGGAUGUUGGCUUAGAAGCAGCCAUCAUUUAAAGAAAGCGUAAUAGCUCACUGGUCGAGUCGGCCUGCGCGGAAGAUGUAACGGGGCUAAACCAUGCACCGAAGCUGCGGCAGCGAACGUAUCACCCAAGACAACUUUACGGAGUUGACGAUUGACGGAGCGAAGCGACGUCAAAGCGUUCAUUAAAGUCGAGUUGGCUUAGGGAUACGUUCGUUGGGUAGGGGAGCGUUCUGUAAGCCUGUGAAGGUGUGUCGUGAGGCAUGCUGGAGGUAUCAGAAGUGCGAAUGCUGACAUAAGUAACGAUAAAGCGGGUGAAAAGCCCGCUCGCCGGAAGACCAAGGGUUCCUGUCCAACGUUAAUCGGGGCAGGGUGAGUCGACCCCUAAGGCGAGGCCGAAAGGCGUAGUCGAUGGGAAACGGGUUAAUAUUCCCGUACUUGGUGUUACUGCGAAGGGGGGACGGAGAAGGCUAUGUUGGCCGGGCGACGGUUGUCCCGGUUUAAGCGUGUAGGUGUGUGUUCCAGGUAAAUCCGGUUCACUUUAACACUGAGGCGUGACGACGAGGCACUACGGUGCUGAAGCAACAAAUGCCCUGCUUCCAGGAAAAGCCUCUAAGCAUCAGGUAACACGAAAUCGUACCCCAAACCGACACAGGUGGUCAGGUAGAGAAUACCAAGGCGCUUGAGAGAACUCGGGUGAAGGAACUAGGCAAAAUGGUGCCGUAACUUCGGGAGAAGGCACGCUGACACGUAGGUGAAGUGAUUUACUCAUGGAGCUGAAGUCAGUCGAAGAUACCAGCUGGCUGCAACUGUUUAUUAAAAACACAGCACUGUGCAAACACGAAAGUGGACGUAUACGGUGUGACGCCUGCCCGGUGCCGGAAGGUUAAUUGAUGGGGUCAGCGUAAGCGAAGCUCCUGAUCGAAGCCCCGGUAAACGGCGGCCGUAACUAUAACGGUCCUAAGGUAGCGAAAUUCCUUGUCGGGUAAGUUCCGACCUGCACGAAUGGCGUAAUGAUGGCCAGGCUGUCUCCACCCGAGACUCAGUGAAAUUGAACUCGCUGUGAAGAUGCAGUGUACCCGCGGCAAGACGGAAAGACCCCGUGAACCUUUACUAUAGCUUGACACUGAACAUUGAGCCUUGAUGUGUAGGAUAGGUGGGAGGCUUUGAAGUGUGGACGCCAGUCUGCAUGGAGCCGACCUUGAAAUACCACCCUUUAAUGUUUGAUGUUCUAACGUGGACCCGUAAUCCGGGUUGCGGACAGUGUCUGGUGGGUAGUUUGACUGGGGCGGUCUCCUCCUAAAGAGUAACGGAGGAGCACGAAGGUUGGCUAAUCCUGGUCGGACAUCAGGAGGUUAGUGCAAUGGCAUAAGCCAGCUUGACUGCGAGCGUGACGGCGCGAGCAGGUGCGAAAGCAGGUCAUAGUGAUCCGGUGGUUCUGAAUGGAAGGGCCAUCGCUCAACGGAUAAAAGGUACUCCGGGGAUAACAGGCUGAUACCGCCCAAGAGUUCAUAUCGACGGCGGUGUUUGGCACCUCGAUGUCGGCUCAUCACAUCCUGGGGCUGAAGUAGGUCCCAAGGGUAUGGCUGUUCGCCAUUUAAAGUGGUACGCGAGCUGGGUUUAGAACGUCGUGAGACAGUUCGGUCCCUAUCUGCCGUGGGCGCUGGAGAACUGAGGGGGGCUGCUCCUAGUACGAGAGGACCGGAGUGGACGCAUCACUGGUGUUCGGGUUGUCAUGCCAAUGGCACUGCCCGGUAGCUAAAUGCGGAAGAGAUAAGUGCUGAAAGCAUCUAAGCACGAAACUUGCCCCGAGAUGAGUUCUCCCUGAGACUUAGAGUCUCCUGAAGGAACGUUGAAGACGACGACGUUGAUAGGCCGGGUGUGUAAGCGCAGCGAUGCGUUGAGCUAACCGGUACUAAUGAACCGUGAGGCUUAACCUU
rnacentral:rRNA from 1 species